rnacentral:lncRNA from 1 species
GUCGGCCCGUUCACGCCCUUCACGGGUAAAAAUCUCUUCUCUAUCUCUGUCCUCUCAAAUUCUCUCCCCCAUUGCAGCCUCUUGCAGGCCGGGAGGUUGCAUUCUGGCGCCCAGACGUGCCUAGGCCCUGCCCCUGGCAUUUUCUCGUGGCAUUCUACCUUUAUUUCUCACAGCGGUUUGGGAGGGCGCGCCCCAACACGUGAAGGAAUUCUUCAGGCACGCGUGAACGAAGCCAAAAGACGACUCCCUUCAGGUCUGGAAAAAGGAAGGUGAGUUGGUCUCAGAGAUGGGUUUGACUAUCUCCUCCCACGCAGGCUAUAUACGACUCCUCAUGUCGUUAGUGGAACAGGGAGGUAGGAAGGUCUCCGAAGCGCAGAUCAAAGCCUUGCUACAGGUGAUUCAAAAGGCUUUCCCAGCCUUCCCGGCCAAGGGGACGCUAGAAGUUGCGCAAUGGGACCUAAUCGGACAAUCUUUAAAGGACUAUCAAAAGGAAGGUAACAGAGUCAGGAAGACGGUAUUUAACACCUGGUCAAUUAUCAGAACCAUUCUAGAGGAUUUAGCUACUAGUACCUAUACUGCAGGGGAGAAGGAAUUUCCACAGACUCAGGAAUUAAAAAAGCAGGAUUUCAAAAGCACUGCUCCUGAGGAGACUGAUGGGGGAAGGGAAGGAGAGUGUUCAGAGUGGUCUAGGGAUCCGCCAGAGGCCCCAGGCUAUAGCUGGAAGAGGAGUAAAACAAAAGACUCAUUUGCAACUCCAAAGCUGUAUCCUUCCUUAGACACUCUGACCCCUCCCCCUCCCACUCCUCCACCAGACUACGGGUUGGCUUCACGAGUCUCCCUCGUGGCCUCCCCACCCCCACCUUGCUCACCUGAAGUUUCUAAGCCUUAUUCACCCAGGAAUGAGCCGAUCUCGCCUGCUCAACAAGGCAAGGAGGGCAUUUCUGCUUUCCCAGUCAGGUAUGUAGAGGACCCUGAGGAUGCCAACAGACGCAUUGCCCAGCAUAAGCCCAUAGACUGUAAGGUCUUGAAAAUGCUCAGAAGCAGCGUAGUGAAAAACGGGGCAACCGCGCCAUUCACACUAGCGCUCCUCAGUAACCUGGCUCAACAGACACUCACGCCGGCUGACUGGUACCUGGCAGCCGAGUCCGCCCUCAGCGGAGGUGACUAUUUGACCUGGAAACUGAAAUUCCAUGAUCUAUGUUCCCUGCAGGCCUCCGAGAACAGGCAGGCAGGAAUCAACGUGCCCUUUGAACAAUUGGUAGGGCAAGGAGAAUUCGAACCAAUUGCUAGGCAAAUCGCAGCCACAGAGCAGAUUUUUAACCAGAUAGCCAGCGCGGCUACUAGGGCAUGGAGAGCCCUACCCGGGAAGGAUUCAGAGCGCUUG